rnacentral:misc_RNA from 1 species
GAUCAUUACCGAGUUAUUCAACUCAUCAACCCUGUGAACUUACCUAAACGUUGCUUCGGCGGGAAUAGACGGCCCUGUAAAACGGGCCGCCCCCGCCAGAGGACUCUUAACUCUGUUUCUUAUAAUGUUUCUUCUGAGUAAAACAAGCAAAUAAAUUAAAACUUUCAACAACGGAUCUCUUGGCUCUGGCAUCGAUGAAGAACGCAGCGAAAUGCGAUAAGUAAUGUGAAUUGCAGAAUUCAGUGAAUCAUCGAAUCUUUGAACGCACAUUGCGCCCGCCAGUAUUCUGGCGGGCAUGCCUGUUCGAGCGUCAUUACAACCCUCAGGCCCCCGGGCCUGGCGUUGGGGAUCGGCGGAGCGCCCCUCGUGGGCGCACGCCGUCCCCCAAAUACAGUGGCGGUCCCGCCGCAGCUUCCAUCGCGUAGUAGCUAACACCUCGCGACUGGAGAGCGGCGCGGCCACGCCGUAAAACACCCCAACUCUUCUGAAGUUGACCUCGAAUCAGGUAGGAAUACCCGCUGAACUUAAGCAUAUCAAUAA